UGUGAUGCGCUCUCAAAGAGUCGAGUUGUUUGGGAAUGCAGCUCAAAAUGGGUGGYAAACUCCAUCUAAAGCUAAAUAUUGGCGAGAGACCGAUAGCGAACAAGUACCGUGAGGGAAAGAUGAAAAGCACUUUGGAAAGAGAGUUAAACAGUACGUGAAAUUGCUGAAAGGGAAACGCUUGAAGUCAGUCGCGUUUGCUAGAACUCAGCCUGGCUUUUGCUUGGUGCAUUUUCUAGUAGACGGGCCAGCAUCACUUUUGUUUGCGGGAUAAAGGUCAGAGGAAUGUGGCACCUUCGGGUGUGUUAUAGCCUCUGGUUGUAUACCGUGGAUGGGAGUGAGGAACUCAGCACGCCUUAUGGCGGGGCUUCGGCCACCUUCGUGCUUAGGAUGCUGGCGUAAUGGCUUUAAACGACCCGUCUUGAAACACGGACCAAGGAGUCUAACAUG
rnacentral:rRNA from 1 species